rnacentral:tmRNA from 1 species
AAACUUGCAAUUUCCAGUAUAAAAGGCUAUAAUAAUCGUGCUGCUGUGCAGUGAUGAUUCUGAAGCCGUUGUGAAAUAGUCGUUUUGGACUGGGGGGCGGUACCCCACAGCUCCACCAUGAUUUGAUAUGAUAUUUGGGUCGUAUCUGAUUAUGGGGCUGACAUAGAUUCGACAGGCGAUGAAAGACAAAUUGGUUGAAUCCGACAUGGCGUCGUUAAAAGCCAACUAAAAACUGAAUGGCGAUAGAAUCGCUGCGAACGACAAUGUUCGCCUUGCAAUGGCUGCCUAAGAUGGCGUUGAAUAUGGUUGGCGAUUGUUGACCGUAUUCGUUUUAGCAAUUGCGGUGUUCGCCGGGUACAUGGCACCAGAAAUCCCGGCAUU